GGAUCAAUGGCUCAGGUGGUUAAGACCUGAUGCCGAUGUGCUGCAGGUUCCCGGUUCAAACCCUGGUGGAACCA